AGGAGCGCCCAAGCAAGACUGAACCAGAGGAUUACAGGAUCCUGUAAUUAUAUCAAUUGGAGUUUGUAUGCAAAUCUCUGGCUUCUCUCUUUGUUCACUGAAAUUUCAUAGGUGGACGCUAUCAUUUGCAGAGUAUGGUUUUCUCUUGUUUUUGAUUCCCUGCCUAGUCUUAACAUGUAGACUUCAGGAGUAGUGAUGCCAAUUUCGUCUGGAGCAACAGGGCGAGUGGGAGUGGGGGUGGACACCUCCAUUAUGUGGACCCCUGACGGAUGGAAGCAAGAUGCAAAUCCCCUCCACAGGAACUGUGAUUCCUAUUUGGAGAGAUACUUAGAAACACACCCAAAUGUGACGAAAAGGAGCAACAUAGACACUUCAGUGGUCAUCCAUGAGCAAACGAGCAACCAGGGACCAAAGGGUAAGAACAGGACCACUUUCUCAAAAGGUCUAAAUGGAGGAAGUAAUGCAAAGCAGCAACAUGAGAGCCAAGACACCACAGGAAACCUAUCCAGCGAAUCAACUUCUAAAUCUUCCACGUGUGCUAUUCUAUAAAGAAUCAUCCUCAAACAUCCUCAGUUGUGAGAGCUACUGUACCUAUUGUACCACAGGUCCCAAACUAAUGUUUUUGUGUGACAAUGGUGAAAGUAAGUUGUUAACAGCUGAAUAUUCAAGGAAAUCAGGUAUUUGUGGAAAUAUUUGGGUUCAGUAUUUCAAUGAUGCUUUCAUUGCUUUGCGUGAUUGUGUUCUAUUGCAUAAGAAAGUAUUCUACUGAGGUUCCAUAUAUAGUACAACUAUUAGCCCUUUCCACUUUGCCCACCCAAAAGGGCAAUUUCCACCUAUUUUGUAUGACUCCUAUAAAAGUGUCAAUAUCUCAAAAACUGUUUAUGACACCAACAUGGUUGAAGGCUUAAAUUAAAGAAGAGACGUUUACCAUUCAGAAACCUCAGACACACAUUUAUGAUAGACAAUGUACAUACACUGUACACAAAAGUACCCCUAAAAUACAAAACAAUUACAAAAAACCUUGUGUUUUAAUAGUUUAGCAUCUUAAUUUCUCAGGCAAGGACCAACCCAGACCAACCCUAUGUUAUAUUUGUGCAAAAACUUGAAGUCAAAGAUAUCGGCAGGCAUUCAAAUUCCUCAUGAGUUUUCCCAAAACUGCACCCAGAUGUCGUCAAGUGUCCCCAAAUUUAUCCAAAUACAAAACAUCUGCAUAUCUUUGUCCAGACACAUGAAUGAUCAGAAAAGCCUAUUUUGGUGGGCAAUGGUGGCACACAGACAAAGUAACAGACCUUGAUGCAGGCAUCAGUUUGUUACAGUUGCACAUCAUUGCACUCCUGUCAAAAGCUGGCUCUCAUGGAGGGAGGGACUCAGCAGGGACUAGUAGGGAUCACCGCGUGCAUGCACCCCGGUGCGCCUCGGAAUUACGGUCACAGGGUGUGAGACAAGACGGCUUGAAGAAGGCGUGUUGUUCUCCCUCUGGCCUGCUGAAGGGACAGGGUUGUAAGCGGUGUAUCCCCAGCUAACACUAAUUGGAUUAGAUAGGGUACAAUUGGCAAAAAAGAAAAAUUUAUUUAAAAAAAUGUUUUCAAUUAAAACAGAUUUUCUGAAACAAAAUGUAAAGAAAAUUAACCUUCACGUGUGUCUUAUUCACUUAUAUGAGAGUAUGUUUUUUCUAAAGCUCUCCAAAGUGUUAAAAAAGCUCUCUGAAAAGGAUUACUCAACCUAAUGCUUUCUAACAAAUCUGCAUCACAUUUAAAAUGGAACUUAAUUUCAAAAUUAGGUUAAUCAGAGCCCCAUUAGCCAGGUUAGCCAGUAGAAUUACAGGUUUACAUUUAUAGGAAGUCCAAAUCCUGUAAUUGCUAUUCAUUCUGCUAUGCAAACUGAGUGGUAUCCACCGCACUCUAUGGCCAGAAUAUGACAGUUAGAAAGGGUAGGAGACCCCCUACAUAAGCGUGCCAUGUUUUACACCAGUACAGUGUUGAAAUGACCUAGCAAUGCAAUUAUGCAACAUUCAAAAGGACUUCAAGAUGGCAUUUGCUCGGGUAUAUUCCCAGCAAACCAUAGUUUUCUUGGAAAUGGCUGAACAGAUUACGGAAUAAACUUCAACAUUAGUCAGAAAGCAGUCGUAGCUUCAUAACUAGUUGGGAUAUUUGGUUCCAUAAAUAUGACUGUAUCGAAUAAUUGAGAAACGGCCAAACCCGAAAUAUGUAUGUCGGACGUGGAAUAAAAAUGAGACAAGAAAAUAAAAACAAUGUGUUUAUUCAUGCAA